AAUCCAGGCACAGAUCCUACCCUGCCUCUUUUCCAGCCAAUUAAGGGAGGAAGCAGGAAGUCUGAAUACUAUUCGCUGUCAUGUAAUUCUCUACCUGGAACCGCGGUGGCGUAAUAGGUUAAAUCCUUGUGCCGGCUGAACUGCUGAUCUGAUUAUUGGGUUGCUGACCUCAAGGUUGCCGAUUCAAAUCCAGACUCUCUGAUGGAAGGGCACAGCCAGCCGAAGUUGCCAUUGCUCUUUAAUUUAACAUGCAGCUGGCUCCAGCUCCUUCGGAAAGAAGCUAAUAGCUGAAAACCUUUACCCCACUGGAAAUAUAUAUUACAUGGCAAAGCUUUCUAAUGCCAGAGGUGACCUUGCAUUCAUCUGAAAGAAGAAACAGAGAGCAGUGAAAGAAAGGCAACAAAUUGAGAUUUCAAAAAGGAGGAAGAGAAGGAGAGAAAAAUAAAACCAA